rnacentral:piRNA from 1 species
UGAGUAGAAGCCGUGUGUUGCCUGUUC